rnacentral:tRNA from 2 species
AGUAAAGUCAGCUAACAAAGCUUUCGGGCCCAUACCCCGACAAUGUAGGUAUAAAACCCCUCCUAUACUA